rnacentral:rRNA from 1 species
GACGAACGCUGGCGGCGUGCUUAACACAUGCAAGUCGAACGGAAAGGCCCUGCUUUUGUGGGGUGCUCGAGUGGCGAACGGGUGAGUAACACGUGAGUAACCUGCCCUUGACUUUGGGAUAACUUCAGGAAACUGGGGCUAAUACCGGAUAGGAGCUCCUGCUGCAUGGUGGGGGUUGGAAAGUUUCGGCGGUUGGGGAUGGACUCGCGGCUUAUCAGCUUGUUGGUGGGGUAGUGGCUUACCAAGGCUUUGACGGGUAGCCGGCCUGAGAGGGUGACCGGCCACAUUGGGACUGAGAUACGGCCCAGACUCCUACGGGAGGCAGCAGUGGGGAAUAUUGCACAAUGGGCAGAAGCCUGAUGCAGCAACGCCGCGUGCGGGAGGACGGCCUUCGGGUGGUAAACCGCUUUCGCCUGUGACGAAGCGUGAGUGACGGUAAUGGGGAAAGAAGCACCGGCUAACUACGU